AGUGAACGCUGGCGGUAGGCCUAACACAUGCAAGUCGAACGGCAGCACAGGAGAGCUUGCUCUCUGGGUGGCGAGUGGCGGACGGGUGAGGAAUACAUCGGAAUCUACUCUGUCGUGGGGGAUAACGUAGGGAAACUUACGCUAAUACCGCAUACGACCUACCGGUGAAAGCAGGGGACCUUCGGGCCUUGCGCGAUUGCAAGUGCCGAUGUCGGAUUAGCUAGUUGGCGGGGUAAAGGCCCACCAAGGCGACGAUCCGUCGCUGUGCUGAGAGGAUGAUCAGCAACACUGGAACUGAGACGCGGUCCAGACUCCUACGGGAGGCAGCAGUGGGGAAUAUUGGACAAUGGGCGCAAGCCUGAUCCAGCCAUACCGCGUGGGUGAAGAGGGCCUUCGGGUUGUAAAGCCCUUUUGUUGGGAAAGAAAUCCAGCUGGCUAAUACCCGGUUGGGAUGACGGUACCCAAAGAAUAAGCACCGGCUAACUUCGUGCCAGCCGCCGCCGUAA
rnacentral:rRNA from 1 species